CGUAGUAUGCGGAGGACAUUAACGAGUAAACAGGAGAGUUGUAGCUGGCCGCAAGGCAUGUGCACGCUCUCUACUCAAUCCAACCUUACACCUGUGCACCUAUUGUAGGUCGAGUGGCUGGACUUGUUCUGGUCGCUCUUCCUAUGUUCUACACAUACACUUGUAGUCUCAGAAUGUAAUCAGCGUAUAACGCAUUAUAAAACAACUUUCAACAACGGAUCUCUUGGCUCUCGCAUCGAUGAAGAACGCAGCGAAAUGCGAUAAGUAAUGUGAAUUGCAGAAUUCAGUGAAUCAUCGAAUCUUUGAACGCACCUUGCGCUCCUUGGUAUUCCGAGGAGCAUGCCUGUUUGAGUGUCAUGAAUAUCUCAACUCACCCGGUUUUUAUUAACUGUGGUGGGCUUGGACUUGGAGGUAUGCUGGCUGACUAGUCGGCUCCUCUCUAAAUGCAUUAGCUGGACCUGUUAUGGAUCAGUACUCGGUGUGAUAAUUGUCUACGCCGUGUCUGUGAAGUGCUUGAAUGGACUAGCUUCUAACCGUCUUCGGACAACUAUUGACAUUUUGACCUCAAAUCAGGUAGGAUUACCCGCUGAACUUAAGCUAAAAAACCCGGGGG
rnacentral:rRNA from 1 species